GUCCACGCUGUAAACGAUGGGCACUAGGUGUGGGGGGUGUCGACUCCCUCCGUGCCGAAGCUAACGCAUUAAGUGCCCCGCCUGGGGAGUACGGCCGCAAGGCUAAAACUCAAAGGAAUUGACGGGGGCCCGCACAAGCAGCGGAGCAUGUGGUUUAAUUCGACGCAACGCGAAGAACCUUACCUGGGCUUGACAUGUGGAUGACCGGCCUGGAAACAGGUCUUCCCUUCGGGGCAUCUUCACAGGUGGUGCAUGGCUGUCGU
rnacentral:rRNA from 1 species